rnacentral:rRNA from 1 species
AACGCUAGCUACAGGCUUAACACAUGCAAGUCGAGGGGUAACGAGAGGAAAGCUUGCUUUCCUUGUCGACGACCGGCGCACGGGUGAGUAACGCGUAUCCAACCUGCCCCCAACUAGGGAAUAACCUUGCGAAAGUAAGACUAAUACCCUAUAAUUUCCUCAGAUGUCAUCUGACGAGGAAUAAAGAUUUAUCGGUUGUGGAUGGGGAUGCGUCUGAUUAGCUUGUUGGCGGGGUAACGGCCCACCAAGGCAACGAUCAGUAGGGGUUCUGAGAGGAAGGUCCCCCACAUUGGAACUGAGACACGGUCCAAACUCCUACGGGAGGCAGCAGUGAGGAAUAUUGGUCAAUGGGCGGAAGCCUGAACCAGCCAAGUAGCGUGCAGGAUGACGGCCCUAUGGGUUGUAAACCGCUUUUAUACAGGAAUAAAGUUAGCCACGUGUGGUUAUUUGUAGGUACUGUAUGAAUAAGGACCGGCUAAUUCCGUGCCAGCAGCCGCGGUAAUACGGAAGGUCCAGGCGUUAUCCGGAUUUAUUGGGUUUAAAGGGAGCGUAGGCCGUCUGUUAAGCGUGUUGUGAAAUGUAGAUGCUCAACAUCUGAAUUGCAGCGCGAACUGGCAGACUUGAGUGUGCGCAACGUAGGCGGAAUUCGUGGUGUAGCGGUGAAAUGCUUAGAUAUCACGAAGAACUCCGAUUG